rnacentral:lncRNA from 1 species
AGAAUCAGAAUGCAGACAUGUUUGAUUGCAAAGCUCAAGUCUAUUUAACCACUAUAUUACUCUCUGUGCACAGAACAAAAUGUCAAUAAGAAAUUUUACUUGGUUUUACCUAUGUUUUAAAGAUCUAAGCAGAUAAUUUUUUCAAAAUUUAUCCAGAUUUUCUGAAUCUUCUUAUAAAGGAAAAAUAUCUUAUGCCUGCAUAAAUGAAAGGAGACCAAGAUUAUUGACUUAUUCAUUUAGCAAAUACAUAGUGAGCCCCUAUCCUCCACUAGGCAUUGUGCUAAAUACUAAGGAUAUAGUAAUGAUAAGAUACAUAAUCCUUUACCUCAUCAGGCUCUGCUCCUAGUGGGUAGACAAAAGAAAAGCAGAAAAAGAUGACAACACAACGGGCUGAAAUGACCAUAAUACCGGAAUUUUACUUUAACGGAAGAUAGCGGUGAGGGCUUGAACACUAAGGAAUUAAUGAGAGAUCAGCCCCUUUAGCGACUCAAAGCAUAUUAUAACUCCAGCUGGUCAAAAAGAGAGGAAAUAAAUAAUAUAACAGGAACAACUGGAAGAGCAAGUGCAGCAUCAGGUUGGUGCAUUUCUUCUGAUCAAAAGGUCGAAUUGCAACUGGUCUUUGAAGAGUGUGCUGGUGACAGUGUGCAACCUUUGCAGUAGCUCCUGGACUGGCCCUAGACUGCUGUCAAAUUAAACCAGCACUGUAAAGAAGAGAGCAAGUUGAAUGAAGUUGAAUGAAGGGGCAUCUUAAUUCCAAUCCUGGCUCUAAUGCUGACUGUAAGCAUGACCCCGGAUGAGUUAUUCACUCUCUCAGUCUCAGUCUCCUCAUCCACAAAGCAGGGAUCACAAUAAAUGAAUAGCACCUUUCACAGAACCCACCAUAUAUACUGAGUGUUCAAUAAAUACCGUGUUCAUCAUCUAACAUCAUAACACAUUGAGCAUCCAUCAAAGCAGAAGUAGUUCGCACCUGGAUAUUUCUGUUUCUUUUUUUUUUUUUGCUAUCCUACUGGUGUUUUACUUAAAUUUAGUGUGGUAAUAUGAAAGAAAAUUACUGCUCUUCUGCUAUUUAGUUAGCAUUUUUAUGCUUUUUAAAAAAUAUUGCAAUAAAAUUAAUAAAAUUUGAAUUCAGUCUUUCCUAUUUAACUAAUAUUAUCUAAAAAUAACUACCUCCCAGGACCACAUUAUACAACAACAUAUAGUAGCUACCUAGGGGCAGCUAUCUUAAUUGUUGAGAAAAUUCUACAAAGAAAGUACCUUCUUCUGGACAUCAUACCUAUUCAUAUUGCCAGUGUCAGGGAUGUUUACCAUGGUUAUGGUAUGGUAAUAACAUGAUACUGAUCAUCAGUACGCAGCAAAUGAACAUACUUUCUCAAUUCUAAUAAAGCAUCAAUUGGGACACACAGGC